ACCAAGCCUGCAAGACAGCAUUCCCUGUAGGUUUUGAGAGAUGCAAAAUAAUGGCUCAUGCGCACCUUUCUACUGGUAGUGCUGAGUUUCUACAAGCCAGUUUCUCCAAUAAAAGUCUGAAAGUCAUGAUAGAAGACAGCACAGGAAGAUUUGUAAAAAUAUCUCAAUGCAUUAUUGAGAUAAAUAAAGUCGAUGCGGCCACC
rnacentral:lncRNA from 1 species